ACGAACGCUGGCGGCGUGCCUAAUACAUGCAAGUUGAGCGCUGAAGGUUGGUACUUGUACCAACUGGAUGAGCAGCGAACGGGUGAGUAACGCGUGGGGAAUCUGCCUUUGAGCGGGGGACAACAGUUGGAAACGAAUGCUAAUACCGCAUAAAAACUUUAAACACAAGUUUUAAGUUUGAAAGAUGCAAUUGCAUCACUCAAAGAUGAUCCCGCGUUGUAUUAGCUAGUUGGUGAGGUAAAGGCUCACCAAGGCGAUGAUACAUAGCCGACCUGAGAGGGUGAUCGGCCACAUUGGGACUGAGACACGGCCCAAACUCCUACGGGAGGCAGCAGUAGGGAAUCUUCGGCAAUGGACGAAAGUCUGACCGAGCAACGCCGCGUGAGUGAAGAAGGGUUUCGGAUCGUAAAACUCUGUUGGUAGAGAAGAACGUUGGUGAGAGUGGAAAGCUCAUCAAGUGACGGUAACUACCCAGAAAGGGACGGCUAACUACGUG
rnacentral:rRNA from 1 species